rnacentral:tRNA from 1 species
AAGGAUUUAAGUUAAUCUAAACUUGUAACCUUCAAAGUUGCCUAUAAAGAUGCUUGUCUUUAAGCCUUA